GCAGGAGUGGCGGAAUUGGCAGACGCGCCAGACUCAAAAUCUGGUGGGCUCAACACCCGUGCGGGUUCGACCCCCGCCUCCUGUA
rnacentral:tRNA from 1 species